GAUGAACGCUGGCGGCGUGCCUAAUACAUGCAAGUCGAGCGGACAGACCCGGCUCUUGCUGCGCUCUCGUUAGCGGCGGACGGGUGAGUCACACGUGUAACCCCUCCUUGUCAUUGUGAUAUCACUUCGGGACUCCGGCUCUUAUCCCGUAGGAUCUCCUGAUCCGCGGUGUUCGAUGGUGAAUUACGGCGGUGCUGGCUCGUAUAGCUGCAUCCGCGCUUCAUUAGCUAGUUGGUACUGUCCAGGCUUACCAAGGCAACGAUGCCUGGCCGACCUGGGAGGGGGAUCGGCCACAGUGGAACUGAGACACGGUCCAGGAUCCUACGGGAGGCAGGAGUAGGGAAUAUUCCGCAAUGGGCGAAAGCCUGACGGAGCAACGCCGCGUGAGUGAUGAAGGUCUUCGGAUCGUAAAACUCUGUUAUUAGGGAAGAACAUAUGUGUAAGUAACUAUGCACGUCUUGACGGUAACUAAUCAGAAAGCCACGGCUAACUACGUG
rnacentral:rRNA from 1 species